rnacentral:rRNA from 1 species
CUAUCAAGUACUAGAUCGUAGAGAUAUAUGGUUAUCCAAGGGAGCACCGUAGCGCUGACGAGGUGACGGCCAACUUGGAAUUUGGCAACCGCUCCUAACUCUCUACGGAGCAGCAAGUGAGAUACUGCACAUUGAGCAAGCCUGAUGCAGCACGCCUGCCUGAGGAUGACGGCCUUUCGGUUGUAACCUCUUUAGUACGGAAAGAAGCGAAAGUGACCGUUACAUGCAGAAAAAGGCACCGGCUAAUUACGUGCCAGCAGCCGCGGUAAUACGUAGGGUGCCAAGCCGUUGUUCCGGAAAUAUUGGGCGUAAAGAGCUCGUAGGCGGCUUGUCGCGUCUGCUGUGAAACCCAGAGGCUCAACCUCUGGCCUGCAGUGGGUACGGGCAAGCUAGAGUGCGGUAGGGGAGAUUGGAAUUCCUGGUGUAGCGGUGGAAUGCGCAGAUAUCAGGAGGAACACCGAUGGCGAAGGGCAGAUCUCUGGGCCGUAACUGACGCUGAGGAGCGAAAGCAUGGGGAGCGAACAGGAUUAGAUACCCUGGUAGUCCAUGCCGUAAACGUUGGGAACUAGAUGUAGGGCCUGUUCCACGGGUUCUGUGUCGUAGCUAACGCAUUAAGUUCCCCGCCUGGGGAGUACGGCCGCAAGGCUAAAACUCAAAGGAAUUGACGGGGGCCCGCACAAGCGGCGGAGCAUGCGGAUUAAUUCGAUGCAACGCGAAGAACCUUACCAAGGCUUGACAUAUACGAGAACACUGUAGAGAUACAGGACUCUUUGGACACUCGUAAACAGGUGGUGCAUGGUUGUCGUCAGCUCGUGUCGUGAGAUGUUCGGUUAAGUCCGGCAACGAGCGCAACCCUCGUCCUAUGUUGCCAGCACGUUAUGGUGGGAACUCAUGGGAUACUGCCGUGGUCAACACGGAGGAAGGUGGGGAUGACGUCAAAUCAUCAUGCCCCUUAUGUCUUGGGCUUCACGCAUGCUACAAUGGCCGAUACAAAGGGUUGCGAUACCGUGAGGUGGAGCGAAUCCCAAAAAGUCGGUCUCAGUUCGGAUUGGGGUCUGCAACUCGACCCCAUGAAGUGGGAGUCGCUAGUAAUCGCAGAUCAGCAACGCUGCGGUGAAUACGUUCCCGGGCCUUGUACACACCGCCCGUCAAGUCAUGAAAGUCGGUAACACCCGAAGCCGGUGGCCUAACCCUUGUGGAGGGAGCUGUCGUAGGGGAAGCAGAUUGUC